ACCAAAUUUUUGGGAAAUUUCAAACAUCUUUGAGAUUUGAAAAUUUCACAAACUCUUUAAAUCUCCAAUCGCUCCUUUUUAUUUCUAAUCAAAAUCCUAUGGCACCAGGGAUCCGAUCCAAAUUAAAUUGAAUCGCCAAAUGGGAAAAAAAAAGGGGCUCACAAGAGAGAAAAUGGGGCAAGAACAGCAGCUCAUCACUAAAUGGGAAGGCUCUGUUGACUGGAGAAGCCGACCUGCAAUCAGAGGUCGCCAUGGCGACAUGCUUGCCUCCUCCUUUGUGCUGGGUAUGUGUCUCCCUUGUGCUGCAAUCAGAGAUCACCAUGGCGAUUAACUCUUACUUCAGUAGAGUUCGAAAAGGAAUUAAACAUUAUAAAGUAUGGAAGCAGUUUGGGUUGCAAAAUACGUGAGUUCGGGGAAAGAGACAUUAUUGUGAUGAGGAAAACGUGGAGCAGUUAUGUAUUUGGAGAUAAAGGCAGAGAGAAAAGGGGGAGAAGAAGGGAGACGUGCAGUUUCCCUCCUUUUACAUUUCAUUUAUUUUAUUUUGUGUUUUACAUAUUUAUUCAUAAUCAUAAUCUAUUUGAAUUGAAGUGAAGUGAUUCUUACCACAAUUUUCUGCAAUUUUGGUUGACAAAGAACCUUCUGUUAAUAAAUAGUAUAAAUUUUCCUAAUUAUCAUAUUGAUUUCUUUUUC